rnacentral:rRNA from 1 species
UGCGUAGGCGGAAGAAUAAGUCAGUGGUGAAAUACUGCCGCUCAACGGUAGGGCUGCCAUUGAUACUGUUUUUCUUGAGUAUGGUUGAGGUAGGCGGAAUGUGCGGUGUAGCGGUGAAAUGCAUAGAUAUCGCCCAGAACGCCGAUUGCGAAGGCAGCUUACUAAACCAUUACUGACGCUGAGGCACGAAAGCGUGGGUAGCGAACAGGAUUAGAUACCCUGGUAGUC